CUGAAAGGAACCAUUCCAAUAUUUUUUUCCUCUUGCAAGUCUGUGGAGAGAACUGGAAGGCUCAAAAUGAAUUACUUAUUUCCUACUGUUUUCCAUGGUGCCAUCUGACAGUAGGAGUUGUCUGACAGCAUUUGAGCAAAGCAGAACUCCGGAAAAUGAAGUGCAGCAGUUCUGAGGUGCAGACUGAUUUGUUUAUGGAUGUUACACUGGGUAACAAAGCAUAUCCCCUCAGAUAUCUCCAACAGCACCCAGAUUUCAUCACUUCAGUAAGACUUGACACUCAAAUUCUCAAAGAAGCAAUCACUUAUUGUACACUCUAUUUUUCUUUACUUAGGAUUCUCGCAUGCAAGUGGGAUACUUUACAGGGCCAUAAAAGUUUGAAGACAAAUUUGAGCUGGAAAAUAUUGUUACACUAUUUUAAAUAUUCCUUUAUAUCAUAAACCAGGAAUAGCGUUUGCAUCAAUAUUUCUCCCAUUUAAAACAUGUUUGACUUAUGAGAAACUUUAUCAUUUGGCAGAUUUUACAAACCAUUUAACGAGAAAGUGGGAAGAUAGUUACAAAAGUUGCAGGAAGAUAGUUACAAAAGUUGCAGGACUGAGAUCUUCAGGAGGCUAUUUAUUCAGUGACUAACCAAAUGGGACCUUAGCCAUUGCCAUGGCACAAAUUAUACCAACUGCAGAAAGAGAAAAUAGUAAUUAUUCCCUGGUUUGAAUCCAUCUUACUAUAUAUUGCUAGAAAUGCCUUUUUCACCAACGAAGUUUUGACAUUUCCUUUUUUCCCCCAUUAUCUGCAUAUAAAAGUAGAGCACUGAGCCCACAUCCAGUGUGACUGGUGCAUACAAACCUACUGGCCAUGAUUUGUAGGUGGAAGGAAUACAUUCUCCCCUUGGUUUUAGCACAGAUCCAGUGAGAAAAUGAGAAUUUACACAUAAAUUGCAAGUGAAUCAGAAAAGAGAAAUCAGGAUCCCUCUUAGCACAAAUACAGCCAUGAUGAACUAGUUCUUACAACAGUAUUCACCUGUUCAUUGUGUGCUACUGACCUCUGUUCACAUUCACCUUCUUGGGAUGUGACACACAAACAGGAAAUAACAUAUGAAAAGCUUGUCUGAAGCUUUAAUGAUUCCAGCUUGAAACCCUGAUAGCUGCUAAGCCAUCCAUGAUGUGCUAUCAUUGAGGAAAUCAGAGAACAAAUUUGUCUCUCCCUCACGCAGUGGGGAUAAACUUGUUCAACUAGGAAACUAGACCCCAAAGAGCUACCAGUAUGCAUUUCUGGAAGAAGGAUUGUUAUGGUACUAUACUGCUACACAGGGUGAUUUUCUUAAUAGCAAGCCUACUUCUAAAAUAUUCUUCCAAUGCAUGAAAACAUGUAAACAAAUAUGUUGAAUUUCUCCUCUGAAAGUAUAGCAGUGCAGCAGGCUAUUUUUGAUGGAACAUUGGUUCGUGUGUGAAUAUGAGGGAAAGAGAUUAAAAAGCACUAAAUUGCCAAUCCAAGACUGGUACAUGAGAGACUCAGCCAUUCACCAAGCAUCAGGUUUCUUCUUUUCUCCUUGAAAACCUAUGCAGGGCUGCUCUUUCCAGAUUAGCACAGCUAUUUUGUUUGCAUGACAUUGCAAAAUCUUUCUAAUUUUCAACUGUAGAAACAGAAGCAAGGAACUGUACUUGCCAUAUGUUUGCAGAUUUUUGCAUAACAGUGCUUUUUGCAUUAUUCCAGCUGUUACUGAAGAUUAGUUAUUGUUAAAUUUGAUGGACAUUUAGGGAAAUUUCCCCUCAUCGAAUGCAAUGAAGAUGGGCAGAAAUUCAGAAUCUCAGCUGCUUUCUGACUAAGGGCUCACAAAGCAGUUAAGGAAUCAAGUUACCAUUAAAUCCAAUAAACUACAAACUUGGAAAACAAAUUUUCUUCUGGUGAAAGACAUUUGUAGUCAUGGUGCCAACAGCACCAUCUUAAUCAGUCAUUCAGUUACUGUGACUUUCAGCUCCAUGGGAUGGCUACUGCAGUAGGAAGUCUCAAGGCCCUAAGCAGCCCACAGACACAGCAUGCAGUGACCAGUUACAACCCAGUGAUGCCAGUUUGCUUUGUGAGCAGCAGGACUACUGAAGUUUGCUUCAUCUCCACAGCUGAGAGCUUUAACUGAAGCUUUGUCAAAGAACUCAGUCCCUGGUGGCUUCUCUGAUGCCCAGUCAGGUGCAAACUCACCCUGUGGUGUCCCCCUUGACAAGGACACUUCAUGGAGAUCCUUUCCCCAGAUACUGGCUACUAGGAACAAACUUGUUUGACCAUAAUUUUUACUGUUGCUUCAGAGAAAUUUCA